CUGUUAUCUUAUUUAUACUGCUUGUGUUGUGCAAGAUUAUUUGCAACCGCCAAAGAAAUGUAAGAGCUAAUACGAACGAGAUUUCCAAAGAAAAAGACCAAG
rnacentral:lncRNA from 1 species